rnacentral:rRNA from 1 species
UANGGANCCCUCAGGUAUGGCGAANGACNGGGAUGAGCUCAGUAUGGAAAUUGGGGCCUGUGGCCUUGAAUUGUAGUCUGGAGAUGUACCACCAACUGGGGCGCAGAUGUAAGCCUCUUGGAAAAGAGCAUCAAUGAGGGUGAGAGUCCCGCAUGGCAUCUGCAGUCCCCAGUGCACGGUGUACCUUCUAAGAGUCACGUUCCUCGGGAUUGGAGCGCAAAUCGGGUGGUAAAUUUCAUCUAAAGCUAAAUAUAGUUUCGAGACCGAUAGCAAACAAGUACCAUGAGGGAAAGGUGAAAAGGACUUUGAAAAGAGAGUUAAAAGUGCCUGAAAUUGCUGAAAGGGAAGCGAAUGGAACCAGCGAAACUUGGCAAGAUUGCUGUGUGUCAAUGUGAUUGCUUGCUGCUGCAACGUAAGUGUGGUAGUAAGUCUUGAGCAGGACAUGCUCGGUGUUUCUUGCCUUGUGUGUCACCUGUGGUUCGUGAUUGAGGAAAACUUCAGGGACAUGGUAGCCUGUCUCCGGGUGGGUGAACGUGUCUGCUGGAACUCAUUCGUGGACUGCUUGGUGACUAAAUGGUUUCAUCCGACCCGUCUUGAAACACGGACCAAGGAGUCUAACAUAUGUGCAAGUUCACGGGUGUUAAACCUGCUUGCGUAAUGAAAGUGACUGCUGGGAUCUUUGCACCAGCAACCGACCAAUCAAUUGAGAGAGGUUUGAGUAUGAGCAUAUCUGUUAGGACCCGAAAGAUGGUGAACUAUGCCUGUGAAGGGCAANCUCAGGGGAAACUCUGAUGGAGGCUCGUAGCGGUACUGACUGCNAAAUCGUUAA